rnacentral:lncRNA from 10 species
AGAUCGAGGGUCUGGGAGGGCUGCAGGGAUCUCUCAGUCGCCAAUGGUUGCAGACAAUCCAGUAAGCCACAGCUGUUACUUGCUGCACUGAACCCUGCCUGCGCUGAGUACCGAAAGCAGGAGGGAAGGUAGCCACAUCUCUUGAGCCCGGCGCUGUCCUAAGCUCCUGACAUCCCCACAGGCCUGAGAAAGGGGCACCACAAACAGGAACCAGGCUGAGACUGAGCCUGUGGACCCUGGUAGCAAGGGCGCCCUCUCUCUAAGAAGCCCUCUGUCAUGCUACCGAUGUUGCAGAACACCUGGGGCGGAGUAGGGAGUGCCAAAGCGCAGGGGAUGAGUGCACAGCAGGGAGACUUCUAUGGUCUGCAGGUGAGCUGAAGGCAGGCCCCUGAGGAGGUGGACAUUUAGGCUGAAUGGAGGACAGGGAGGUAGCAGGACCUGCUGUCUCCAGGACCCCUAAGUUUCUAGGCCAGAGCUGACGGCUGGUGGGUGCAGUCAGCCAGGCUCCAGGGAAGGCUGCUCCAGGCAGGGCUGAGUCUUCACGGUUCAGCUUUUAGAACUGGCCAGGUUGGAAUUCUGGCUGGGGGCAGACAGGGAGGGCAAACCACAAACACUUCUGCCUGAUCUGGCUGGGGAAUCCACAGAGACCACCAGCUGGGACUGGGGUGAGCCUCUCAGAGCCCCUAGCACCAGCCCAAGGCUGCAUGGGCUGACUGUGUGGGCGGAUGCUGCCUAAGUCAUGUGCAGAGCCGUCCUGAGCUGAGGCAGAACUAUAAGACAUGAACUCUGUUUUCAAGACAGGUGACAAUGACAAACAGCAAUAAAAGCCACACACCAUAGCUCAGGAUAACAAGGGCUGAGAUGCGUUUGGACAAUGAGAAGAAAAUAAAAAUUAAAAAAAACAGC